GUCAAUGUGGCGCAGCGGUAGUGCGAAUGUCUGCGACGUAUCAGGUUCCGGGUUUGAUUCCCGGUGACA